GGGAGUUUCAAAAAAGCUAGCGAGCAACCGCCACUAUGUUUACGUUUUCCUCGCUGUUUUAUAUACAUUUAAAAAUGUCAAAACGUCAACAUUUGAGGUUUAACGCGCUGAAACCAGUUGAAAUCAAGAGCCGACGUGACAUGUCAGGACCCGGGUGUAACUGACGUGGUGUUUGGACUGUCAAGGUCGAGUUUGAUGAAAGAGGGUCUAACUUAGUCAUGACUGACUUUUUGGACGUUUUGCUAUUUGGAGUUCAUUUUCUGUUUUGGAGGAUUUCUGGAUUGGAUAUGGAUUUGUACGGCGGCUGCUGGGUGAAGGCAUCGUCGGAAAAACACGUUGGGCCGGUGAGAAUGAUGGAGGACUUGAUUUAUGAGGCGCAGAGCGGGAUGUGGACAUCUCAGGUUGAGAAAAUUUCAUCUCGGAUCAGGCCCCCGAUGCUGCAGAGAUAAAAGCAAAAGAAGGAGAGAAACCUUGUGUUGAACCAUAUAAACAAUAUAUUAUUUAUGCUACAGAUGAUUAGGCCAAUUGAAAUUGAAAAAGUUGAAAGCAAAAAUUGACUUAGAAAAAACACAAAAAGCACCUAAAACAGAUGUAGAUAGCCAUAGUGGAUGGAAAAUGGCAACGUAGAAGUAGAAUAGUAGAAUUUUUCUUACACACACUAACUGUGACCAGGCAUGGCAGGUGAUGCUUGAAAGGCAGCGUCGGAAUGAAGAAAGUUAAAAGUGUGUGCAAUAUAGCGAGGAUCAUGGAUUUCAACUGAGAACUUCUUACAAUAUCUUACAGUGUGUACUGCUGCUAUCCCCCCUCCCCCACCCCUG